CGCGGUGUAGCUCAGCCUGGUAGAGCACAGGGCUCAUAACCCAGAGGUCGGCGGUUCGAUUCCGUCCCCCGCAA
rnacentral:tRNA from 1 species